CACGAUCAAAGAGAUAGACCUCCUCCCCUGUCUCUUUGUCGUGUUCGGGCGGGACCUCCUCCUCCCAAUCCCGUCCGACCCUUGCGUCGCCCGCCGGUCCUCCUCCCUCCGGCGGGCGAUCGCA
rnacentral:sRNA from 1 species